UACGUAGGGUGCGAGCGUUGUCCGGAAUUAUUGGGCGUAAAGAGCUCGUAGGCGGUUUGUCGCGUCUGCCGUGAAAGUCCGGGGCUCAACUCCGGGAUCUGCGGUGGGUACGGGCAGACUAGAGUUCGGUAGGGGAGACUGGAAUUCCUGGUGUAGCGGUGAAAUGCGCAGAUAUCAGGAGGAACACCGGUGGCGAAGGCGGGUCUCUGGGCCGAAACUGACGCUGAGGAGCGAAAGCGUGGGGAGCAAACAGG
rnacentral:rRNA from 1 species